UCCAGUCACUUUACUUUCAUCCAAAAGAAACACAAACAGAAACACAAUCAGCUUAAACCUGUUGUUGUUGUUGUCGUUUGAGAUGCCGUGUCUUUGUUCUUGGCACGGUGGCUCUACCAGCUGGCAGACAGAGAGACGGAGCUUCACAGGGUUACAGUGUUGUGGGUCACCAGAGCCAAGCUCUCAGCAGCACCAGUCCAUAACACGUAUAAGGCAAUAGCUUUGUGCUCCCUACGGGGACCCGCCCCCCACUUUGGGAACCACCGCUUUCCAGCCGUUGUGCAGUGAACACCCAGACAGACAGAGUGCAGUCUAUGGCAUCCUUAGCCUCUGCAGAAAACUGGACCGUGUCAAAACCAGACAACCUUGGAAUGGUAAAAUCACAACUAAUGAGCUCUCUCACUGUGCUGUAAAAUGACACCACUGCAGUUUCCACCACAAUAUGGAGGAAAACAGGAGAGGAUAGAGGGGAGAGAGAGGGGACUCUGGGUCAGAGACUGCAGCCAUCACUGAGCUCUGUGGGUGUGGAGGUAAUGGGCUGACUUCAGUGUGUGCGUGCUCGGUGUAUCAU